AUGGUGUUUCAUAAAGAUGAUAGCUGAGUUUUCACAUUGGUGUCUGAGACCACCCUCCCUCAGUCCUUGUUACAAAGUUGACACAUUAUCCAUCUGGCA